GGGGAUUUAGCUUAGGGGCAUAAGCACUUGCCUUGCAAGCAUGCGGUAGUGAGUUUGAUCCCCA
rfam:Cavia porcellus supercont2_142 genomic scaffold, whole genome shotgun sequence.